CCUACGGGCGGCUGCAGUGAGGAAUAUUGGUCAAUGGACGAGAGUCUGAACCAGCCAAGUAGCGUGAAGGAUGACUGCCCUAUGGGUUGUAAACUUCUUUUAUAUGGGAAUAAAAUGUUCCACGUGUGGGAUUUUGUAUGUACCAUAUGAAUAAGGAUCGGCUAACUCCGUGCCAGCAGCCGCGGUAAUACGGAGGAUCCGAGCGUUAUCCGGAUUUAUUGGGUUUAAAGGGAGCGUAGGUGGAUUGUUAAGUCAGUUGUGAAAGUUUGCGGCUCAACCGUAAAAUUGCAGUUGAAACUGGCAGUCUUGAGUACAGUAGAGGUGGGCGGAAGUCGUGGUGUAGCGGUGAAAUGCUUAGAUAUCACGAAGAACUCCGAUUGCGAAGGCAGUUCACUGGACUGCAACUGACACUGAGGCUCGAAAGUGUGGGUAUCAAACAGGAUUAGAUACCCGAGUAGUC
rnacentral:rRNA from 1 species